GACGAACGCUGGCGGCGUGCCUAAUACAUGCAAGUCGAGCGGACAGAUGGGAGCUUGCUCCCUGAUGUUAGCGGCGGACGGGUGAGUAACACGUGGGUAACCUGCCUGUAAGACUGGGAUAACUCCGGGAAACCGGGGCUAAUACCGGAUGCUUGAUUGAACCGCAUGGUUCAAUUAUAAAAGGUGGCUUCGGCUACCACUUACAGAUGGACCCGCGGCGCAUUAGCUAGUUGGUGAGGUAACGGCUCACCAAGGCGACGAUGCGUAGCCGACCUGAGAGGGUGAUCGGCCACACUGGGACUGAGACACGGACCAGACUCCUAAGGGAGGCAGCAGUAGGGAAUCUUCCGCAAUGGACGAAAGUCUGACGGAGCAACGCCGAGUGAGUGAUGAAGGGUACUCGGAUCGUAAAACUCUGUAGUUAGGGAACAACAAGUACCGUUCGAAUAGGGCGGUACCUUGACGGUACCUAACCAGAAAGACACGGAUAACUACGUGUCAGUAGCCGCUGUAAUACGUACGUGGCAAUGCGUCGACCGGAAAUAUAGGUAGGUACAUCGAUCGCAAUGCGAGUUCAAUCGUCAUAAUGUACAGCCGCCGGCACAACAGCGAUGGAAUUGUAACUGUGACAACCAUAGCAGAGCGCUAGAUCUACUGUACCGUAACGGCAAACUAAACACACUCAACUACCCAUAGCUCCAAACACGCGACAAAAACGACAACUAUACCCAUACACCAUACACGCUAUACGACAAGUAACGACAUACCAACCACGUACAGUCUGCGUAGCACCUCAUGCCUAACCAGCACACAAGCUACACCGCACACCA
rnacentral:rRNA from 1 species